rnacentral:lncRNA from 1 species
UUUUAUCAUUUCAAACAUAAAAACUUCAAUCUAUUCAAUUCUUCGCACAUAAUUCUGCUUCAAGAAAAUUAAAUAAUGCACUCUGAGGUUCACAGGCUACCAACUUUAAUAAAUUGAGAGAUUACUCAUACAAGCUCCUACAAUUCAAGGCACGACCUUAGUGGGAUUUUUCAUAUUAAUUGAGGUGUUGAAAUAGAAUCAAGCAUGCCAGCAGUAGAAACUCUUUUAAUUAAAAUCAGAAUAAAUAAAUAAAUAAGUAACUAACUAAAACUUCCCUUUGUUAAUGAACCUUGGCGUGUCCCUCAAGCACGUCCGAGGGAUGAAUGAACAUCAGAUGUGCCCAAAUAAACGAUGAAUGAAAACAGGAUGAACUUUGGAUGAAUGAGAGUGAGAUGAACGCGGGGUGAACGAUGGAUGGGUGUCGGAUAGGUGUUAGGGACAAGACUGUGGUGGUGGUGGGGGACAAGACUGACGGUGAAGGGAGUGGGAUUUUGCGGCGUGAAGCAGCGGCAGUUGUGAUGGGAUUGCCCCGGAGGAUCGUGAAAGGGAAGCAGAAGAAGAAGAAGAAGCAGAUGCAGCACAACAUGGAAGCUGUUCAACGUUGACGCAGUCAUUGUAGCAGCUCGGCUAUGGCAGCGACAACAGCAGCAGUAGUUUCAGCAGCAGUUUUCACUCAGACUCGCCACUGUCGGACCCCAUGCGCGGCGCAAAUUGACACUCUGAACUGGGUCCUUUCAAGCUGGGCUGCUGCUAAUUGCACUGGCACUGCGUGUGAGGUGAACGUCCGUGUUAAGC